rnacentral:rRNA from 1 species
UACAGAGGUCUCAAGCGUUGUUCGGAUUCAUUGGGCGUAAAGGGUGCGUAGGCGGCGCGGUAAGUCGGGUGUGAAAUCUCGGGGCUUAACUCCGAAACUGCAUUCGAUACUGCUGUGCUUGAGGACUGGAGAGGAGACUGGAAUUUACGGUGUAGCGGUGAAAUGCGUAGAUAUCUGGAGGAACACCGGUGGCGAAGGCGGCAUCCUGGACCAACACUGACACUGAGGAGCGAAAGCCAGGGGAGCAAACGGG